AUCGUUGUUAGAAACUGUUGAUUUUUCAAAAGGCGACAUUUGUGCAAUUGUUUUUAUUUUGAUUUUGAUUUUUUAGUUUUUCUAAUUUUUAUUUUUAUUUCUUGUUUAUCAUAGUGCUAUUGAGGUAUUUUUUGUCUAUGUAUGCGCAGUUCAGGAUCACCAUUAAUCCCAUUUGAUCCAGAAAUUGAAAGAACCACAUGUGCUCUUAG
rnacentral:lncRNA from 1 species